UACAGAGGGUGCGAGCGUUAAUCGGAAUUACUGGGCGUAAAGCGCGCGUAGGCGGCUUUGCAAGUCGGGUGUGAAAUCCCCAGGCUUAACCUGGGAACUGCAUUCGAGACUGCAUUGCUAGAGUAUGGGAGAGGGAAGUGGAAUUUCCGGUGUAGCGGUGAAAUGCGUGGAUAUCGGAAGGAACAUCAGUGGCGAAAGCGACUUCCUGGACCAAUACUGACGCUCAUGUGCGAAAGCGUGGGGAGCAAACAGG
rnacentral:rRNA from 1 species